ACCACAGUGUGACGGAAGCGGAAUUUGCUGCAUUUUUAUCAGCGGUCCAUCCUAACAGUAAUGGAGGUGGUGUAGUGGGGUGACAAAUACAUAUAUCGAGCACGGAGUUCUGAAAGAUCAUUGAAUAAAAAGAUUUUAAAAUAUA